CUUCCUUCCUAAUUCCAGACAGCAACUCUCCUUCCGUUGUCGCAUCAAGAAAAGUUCGCCGGUGACUAGGCUUUUCCUUCUUCUUCUCCUCCUCCUUCUCGCCUGACGCUGAAGCGAUAGCUUCUUUGUCCUCCUUAACGAGCUGAGACAUUGCAUUAGCGUUUAUAGAAGAGAUCAAGUAAGGACAAAGGGACCUUCGCGCACUCGAUCUGAGAGCGAGCGAACGAGAGGGAGGGACCAAACAGAGCUUCGAAGACAAGAAAGGAAAGGAAAGGGAAACCCUAGGCGAUGGUAUGCUACAGAGAAAUGUGGGAGGAAUAGCGGAAAGGAUCA
rnacentral:misc_RNA from 1 species